UACGGAGGAUGCAAGCGUUAUCCGGAUUUAUUGGGUUUAAAGGGUACGUAGGCGGAAGAUUAAGUCAGUAGUGAAAUCCCGCAGCUUAACUGUGGAACUGUUAUUGAUACUGGUUUUCUUGAAUGUAGUUGAGGUAGGCGGAAUAAGUAAUGUAGCGGUGAAAUGCUUAGAUAUUACUUAGAACACCGAUUGCGAAGGCAGCUUACUAAGCUACGAUUGACGCUGAGGUACGAAAGCGUGGGGAGCGAACAGG
rnacentral:rRNA from 1 species